AUCGCCGGAAUCCACUUCCGGUCCGUUCAAACGCGGUGGGCCCGGGAGGAGAGUCGGGGCUCCAGGACGUGGGGAGUGGUUUUCGGCCCGGGGACCUGGCCGGCAGCGCCCCCUUCAGUCUUUUCCUACGGGCGGAGGCGCGUUUGCGCCCUUGGGGAACCGUCUGGAAUCCUGCUUCCGGCGCGGAAGGUAAAACCGUUGGGCCUGGGGCGGCGCGGUUCGCUCCGCGGCGGGGCGCGCUGUGUGAACGGAAGUGGGGAGGGUCCGAGGGAGGCGGUAGCCGUGGACGCCCUGCUGCCCCCCGCUCGGGAAGCCGGCCGUCGGGGUUUCCUCAGCUCCCGCCCGUCUUUCUGCGCAGCCUCAUGGAGCCCGAGAGGGGAAGGACCGGGGCGCUCCUCCAGAAGGGCCGGAAGAGGAGGCGCGCCCCGGGCAAGCACGUCGGGGCGGCCGAGGCGCGGAGAGCCCGCUCGGAACCUGAGGAGAGGCGGCCCGGAGCCAAGAUAAAGCCUCGAGUAUAUCAAGAUCAGUGA
rnacentral:lncRNA from 1 species